rnacentral:rRNA from 1 species
CAUCUCCUACGGGGGGCAGCAGUAGGGAAUCUUCCACAAUGGGCGAAAGCCUGAUGGAGCAACGCCGCGUGGGUGAAGAAGGUCUUCGGAUCGUAAAACCCUGUUGUUAGAGAAGAAAGUGCGUGAGAGUAACUGUUCACGUUUCGACGGUAUCUAACCAGAAAGCCACGGCUAACUACGUGCCAGCAGCCGCGGUAAUACGUAGGUGGCAAGCGUUAUCCGGAUUUAUUGGGCGUAGAGGGAACGCAGGCGGUCUUUUAAGUCUGAUGUGAAAGCCUUCGGCUUAACCGGAGGAUCUCAUUGGA